CUAAUCAUGUGAUUCAGGUGUGUUGAUCCAAGGUGAGAUCUAAAACCUGCAGGACACCGGCCCUCGGGGCCUGGAAUUGCCCACCCCUGCUAUACAGUCUCAGGUUCCAACGGCGGUUGUAGCGUUCAACUUCAGAGAUGCGUUCAUCACAUUUCUGUAUAGCAAGGAGCAGACGGCCGAGUUUAUUAAACUCCACCGAGACAGCGGUGACGCAAAUCAGAAGGCUAGACCGUCCCAUUUCACAGCCUCGCACUUCCGGCCGUCUCGGUCUUUGAAGAUCAUUUCAAUACGCAUGAUCUGAGCAUGCGCGGAAUGAUACGGAGCGCUUCUUUGAUCUUCUCAAAGGAGAGACUGUGACGUGAUGAUCGAUGUCACCGUCACAGUUUCGACGUGGCAGUGACGUCACCAUCUCUGCCAUAUGAGUCCAUAAAUAGAGGUGCUAUAACACAGUUUGGUACGUCUUCAGAAACAGCGAGUUGUCUUUGACAAAGAUAAUACUUUCAUACAAUUCAUACAAAGUUUUUUUUCUUUCGACACUGUGCUUUUAUACUAUUAAAGAAAUGUCGGAGGAAACAUUAAAUAAUUCACCUAAGGACGGAGAUAAUACAGAGGAAUUACAUUUUAUGCGACAGAUGGCGUUUCUCACUGAGGAGCUGGCCAAGGCUACAAGUAAGUCGGGUGAAUUACAGAAAGAGCAGAGGACUCUCAGGGAAACUAUACAGGACCUUGAGACUAGUCGCUUGGAGCAACUGCAGGAGUUGCAAAGAGAGAAAGAGAGAUUAGUUCAGCAUGUGGAGUUUCUCCGGCAGCAAAAUAGAACGGAUCUUACUAGGAUCGACAACCUUAGAAGGGAGUUUAAAGAACGAAAGACUCCUGUCACAGAACCACCUACUGACGAGUCUCAGACUAGUGGUUGGUGGGGUGCUGGUGCCAAAGUCGCACUUACAGUAGGUCUUGUCACAGCAGCAGUUGUUGUUCCUGUAGCUUGCUGGGCCGUCGCAAAUAUUUUCCGAUGAAGUGAAUGUCCGUCCUCUGUGGGAUUAUCCUUAUUAUCCAUUCCAGCCCUACUGUAGUUGUGGAUGUGGACCGGGUGCCUUUUGAAAACAGUAAUAAUGUUUUCCAGCCACGGUCCACAAUCUGUGCUCUCCUUUAUGUUCAAUUUUAUUUUGCCCUCACCUCCCAACCAGUCAUGACAGAAGACUGCCCCUCCCUGAGCCUGGUUCUGUCACAGGUUUCUUCCUGUUAAAAGGGAGUUUUUCCUGUCCACUGUUGCUCACAGGGGAUCACUUGAUUGUUGGGAUUGAAUUUUUGGAUUGAAUUUAAUUGCCUUAAACUGAAAUUCAAAAAUUCAAGUGAGGGGUUGACCAGGGCUCGCAAAAUCGCUAGCCCGACGUCCCGGGGCUAGCGAUUUCUCCAGUCGGGCUACCAAAAUCCAUCUCAGCCCAGCCCAUCGGCCCGUCGGGCAGGGCUGAGAUACAAUUUGGUGGGUUCUGAUAGUAGAGAGCACAAAAUUGGUUAGCUGGAUUGUUUGUUUGUUUUUUAUUUGUAGUUUUUGUGGUGCUCCAUACUUGAAAAACUACAAAUAUAAACAAUGUGGUUGGUGGCUAAUCAAAAUAAAGAAAAAUAAUAUUUAAAAAAAAAACAUCCACUACUGCUCUGUGUGUUUACUUCAAUGAAGACUUGUAUUUAUUGUGAUAGAAAAAUAUAAAUUGUCUAAAAUAUUUGAGUGUUUUUAAAUUAGCACUGCAUGAGUUUAACUGUGGCACAGACGGCUGUCAAUCCUGGUGAGUGAGAGUUCAACCUCCAAACUGAACCCAGUGUGUUACUCACAGAAUCACAGAUUUACUCACAUUUACUGAUUGUUCUGUAGGGUCUUUACAAUUUUCAGCCCCUUCAGGUGACUGUUGUCUUCUGACUCCAUCUUUAGGGUUUAGUUAGAUUAAAUAUUUAACCAGUUAAUUUAAGAAUGAAAGACACAUUUAUCACAAAGGCACUCUUAUAAUGUAGAUUAAAUGUGUGUUGACAUAACAUCUAGAUGUAUGAUUAGAAAGAGAGAAAUGUUGUAAUGACAUGAACAAAGUGCAGUAUUCCAAGAUGGCAUCAGAGUUUUAACACCUUUUAUACUCAUGUUUUUAUAAUUAUGUUAAGUGUAAAAGCUCAAAGAUAAUGACAUAGAUGCAUCUGUUUCUGUUAUUAUCACAAUAAUCACAACAUAAAAUGAUUAUUGUGACAGUUUUUCUGUGCUGUAUUAAGGUUACCAGAGUCAGCUGGGGAUUCAUGAACAUCAUCAGUGAUGUUUUUCCACAGUGGGCUCAUCAGUACCUGGUGACAGAAGGUCAAUCCAGCUCGGACUUGAGGCUGUUCAAGAAUCGGCUCCGCUUGAUCUGGUUCCACCUCUACCACAGGCAGAGAAACACAGGGUGAGAUCGCCUCCUGCCAGUCAUCACGCUAGAACUGUUUCUAGAAUCGAUUCGAUUCAGAUUCACAAGGUCCCGAAUCGAUCGAUUUGAUCAGGGAGAGGAUGGACAGACUGAUUUCACUUCUUGAAAGAUCAGUUCCAAAAUCAGUUAUGCAUUAAGAAAUGUAUUUAUUUGAAUAUUUUGUGACAUUGUUAUGUGUUGCAUUAGUUUAAAAGUGUUUUGUUAUUAAUAAAUUGAUUACAACAAACACUAACUGUCACUGAACUCAUCUUAUUUUCAGGUAUUUUUAACAUCUAUGAACAUAAUGGUCACUUUGAACAAUUCUACAUGGAUAUUUAUUUGAUGGUAAAUGGCCUGUAUUUGUAUAGCGCUUUACACAUCCAGUCAUCCAACCAUUCACACACACUCACACACUGGUGAUGGUAAGCUACAUUGUAGUCACAGCCACCCUGGGGCGCACUGACAGAGACGAGGCUGCCGACACUGGUGGCACCGGGCCCUCUGACCACCACCAGUAGGCAACGGGUGAAGUGUUUUGCCCAA